rnacentral:rRNA from 1 species
AUACGGGGGGUGCAAGCGUUAUUCGGAUUUAUUGGGCGUAAAGAGCGCGUAGGCGGCUUGGUAAGUCAGAUGUGAAAGCCCGGGGCUCAACCCCGGAAGUGCAUUUGAAACUAUCAGGCUAGAGUAUGGGAGAGGGAAGUGGAAUUCCUGGUGUAGAGGUGAAAUUCGUAGAUAUCAGGAGGAACACCGGUGGCGAAGGCGACUUCCUGGACCAAUACUGACGCUGAGGCGCGAAGGCGUGGGGAGCAAACAGGAUUAGAAACCCUAGUAGUCC